CGGCAGGCUUAACACAUGCAAGUCGAGCGGGGAAGGGUAGCUUGCUACCUGACCUAGCGGCGGACGGGUGAGUAAUGCUUAGGAAUCUGCCUAUUAGUGGGGGACAACAUUCCGAAAGGAAUGCUAAUACCGCAUACGCCCUACGGGGGAAAGCAGGGGAUCUUCGGACCUUGCGCUAAUAGAUGAGCCUAAGUCAGAUUAGCUAGUUGGUGGGGUAAAGGCCUACCAAGGCGACGAUCUGUAGCGGGUCUGAGAGGAUGAUCCGCCACACUGGGACUGAGACACGGCCCAGACUCCUACGGGAGGCAGCAGUGGGGAAUAUUGGACAAUGGGCGAAAGCCUGAUCCAGCCAUGCCGCGUGUGUGAAGAAGGCCUUUUGGUUGUAAAGCACUUUAAGCGAGGAGGAGGCUACCGAGAUUAAUACUCUUGGAUAGUGGACGUUACUCGCAGAAUAAGCACCGGCUAACUCUGUGCCAGCAGC
rnacentral:rRNA from 1 species